UGCGUAGGCGGUUUAUUAAGUCAGUGGUGAAAGACGGUCGCUCAACGAUUGCAGUGCCAUUGAUACUGGUAGACUUGAGUGUGAUUGAGGUAGCUGGAAUGGAUAGUGUAGCGGUGAAAUGCAUAGAUAUUAUCCAGAACACCGAUUGCGAAGGCGGCUUGCUGGACGAUAACUGACGCUGAGGCGCGAAAGUGUGGGGAGCAAACAGGAUUAGAUACCCUAGUA
rnacentral:rRNA from 1 species